AAGUGCAUCUGCACGAACAAUAAUACUCCACUAGAGUACAAAUGUUUUUUUGGGUACCAAACCCGACGGUCUCGUUUCAAGCCAGCCUUCGUUGCGGUCUCUCUUUCUAGGGUUUCCGCUCAUGAAAUCCGUUUCCUUCCGCAGAGGCAAACUUUAUAGGGUAAUUAUAAUCUUCUUAUAGACAUGUCUUUUCCUAUAACACCUUCUAAGAGACCCUUUGAUCGAAACCCUCUGGAGCCGAAUGGAAGGGCAAAGUGGCAAAAGACUGCAGCUUUUCAUUCAAAGAAUCAGCCACUGAAAAUAUCCCCUGGUUCUACCGUAUUCCGUGUGCUUUGUCCUGCUUCCAAAUCUGGAAAUGUUAUCGGUAAAGGUGGGAGCGUUGUAAUGCAGAUACGCCAGGAAACUGGUGCAAAGGUCAAAGUCGAGGAAACCAUCCCUGGUUGUGAUGAAAGAGUCAUUAUGAUUACUGGUUCUGAUAAAGAUGCAGAAAUGAGCAAUGAUCAGAACAAGGAUGAUGAUGAAAACAAUACUGCUGAUGAUGACGGCGAUGAUAACAAGGAAACUGAUGAGAACAAUGAAGAUAAGGAAUCGCCCCCCUUAGAGGUUUUACAAUCUGGAAAGGUCACUUCAUCUUCAGCACAGAGGGCUUUGUUACUUGUUUUUGAGAGGAUAGUCGAAGGAGAUUCUGACACCGAUGGAGGAGAGGAAGCAGCCAAGAAGCCUUCUUCUUCAGUUUUCGUGAGGUUGCUUGUGCUUUCAACCCAAGUUGGUUGCCUUCUGGGUAAGGGUGGCAGUGUAAUCAAGCAAAUGGCGGCGGAAAGUGGGGCCCAGAUCCGGAUCCUUCCUAGGGACAAACUUCCUUCUUGUGCUUCACCAUCUGAUGAACUGGUCCAGAUCACAGGAGAGUUAGAUGCAGUUAGGAAAGCUCUUCAAUCAGUUUCUCAACAACUUCUGGAGAAUCCACCUCGUGAUCGUGAUUCAUUUCCUGCAAGCAAGCCCACUGGGCCAUCAUCUCAUCGUUUUGUUCCUCUUCCUCAGGCAGAACUUUACCCACCUGCAAAUUAUCAUUUCCCUGUUCAACCGACACCAUAUUCUGCUGGGCCCCACCUUGUUCCUGAUUAUCAUCCACGUGUUGCCUUAUCUACUCCUAAAUUUCAUGAAAAUGUUCUCUCUGGCCAGAUGAAUGCUGUGGAAGAAAUACUCACAUUCCGGUUAUUGUGCAUGAAUGAGAAGAUCGGGGGUGUGAUAGGAAAAGGAGGGAGCAUAAUUAAAACACUUCAACAGGAAACGGGUUCUGAUAUCAAAAUUCUUGAUGCUGUCCCUGAGUCAGAUGAUCGCAUCAUAGUCAUAUCUGCUCCAGCGCAUCCAGAUGAUAGGAUUUCUGCUGCACAAGAGGCAGUCCUUCGUAUGCAGAGCAGGGUUGUGAGUCCUGUUCCUGAUAGUCCUGAUAAAGUUCUAUCCUCCAGACUCCUUGUCCCCUCGAAUCAUAUUGGUUGUCUUCUUGGCAAGGGUGGCGCCAUAAUAGCAGAAAUGAGGAAACUAUCUGGAGCUCACAUUCGUAUAUUGGGGAAGGAUCGGAUUCCAAAAUGUGCCUCAGAUAAUGAAGAAGUCGUUCAGGUAAUCGGGGAAUUUGAGGCAGUUCAAGAAGCUAUGUUGCAGAUAACUUUGAGGUUGCGGCAACAUCUCUUCCGUGAUAAGUUUCCCGCGAUGAACCAUCUACCACAUCUUGAUUUUCCUGAUCAAUUACCGCCUCCAUUUGCACCAUACAUGGGAAGGCGGGAUCCGUCGCCCCCUCGAAUAUAUCCUGGUUUAGGCCCGUCAUUUCACAAGUUUGAUGUUGUCGGAGGCUUCCCUCCCCGUGAUGAACGAUCUGCUUUUGCGCACGGUAUUCACAAACCUGGCUUCCCCCCUCAUAGUUCUGAAAGAAUGCCAUCUUCAGCACCAUGGGCACCUCAGGGCAUAAGUGAUGGUGGUGGUCCAAUUGGAGUUCCUGAUUAUGCAGGAGGUCCUCAGAGAAGAAUUGGUGGAUUUGGAGGCAGAAGCCAGUCAGCUGUUAUCACGAGCACAACUGUAGAAGUUGUUGUUCCCCGAUCUGUUGUUCCUUCUAUAUAUGGAGAGGAUGGAGGCUGUUUAAAACAGAUCCGCCAGAUUUCUGGUGCAAAAAUUACCAUCAAUGAACCCAGACCUGGAGCAACAGAGACUGCGAUUACAAUAUCUGGAACACCUGAGCAGACGCAUGCUGCACAGAGUCUUCUUCAAGCAUUUGUACUGAGUGAGCAGGGCACUCCUUGACUUGUUGCAUUGGACUGAUUUUCAUCGGGAUCCUCGAAUGGUAUGAUCUUCAAUUGAAUAGGCUUGAUCCUCAAUUAGAUGGGUCUGAUCGUCAAUCGUCCAGCAAUGGAAUCAUGGGAUCUGCCUUUGGAUCUCCUAUGGGUGAUUGGAUGGCGUGCAUGCAUCAACCUGUCAACAUUUUAUCAGUGUGACCUAAGACGCAUGCUGUUCCCACUUGGAAGUGGUGUUGGGCAACACGAGUGCUUUAUUUAUGUCAGCAAGUAAGAAAAGUGUGUUCUCCUAAUAUUUUUGGUGCUACUCUAGUCUAGGAGGCAUAUUUUUAAUCUGGGAGAAGCCAAGCUUCCUAUGGUGCUGUUUGCUGCCCUCAAAAGGUGUAUUCUGCCAGGUUGCAUUCACAUCCCAUGACUUUCAAUCUGUUAACCAAUUCCGAAUUGCCGUUUUUUCACUUCCCAUGUUGGGAUUCGAACAGUUAAUGUCACAAUUUCUCAAUCCACUUGCAACUUUUUGGAGCAUGCUACUUUUUGGAGCAUGUUGGGAUUGUGUCAGUUGCAUGAAGUGGCUGGGCUGUCCUCUCUUUCAGAAUGGGCUGACCGCCAGAUUGCAGAUGGUUUUGUAGCAGUGGCCAUUACGCGUGCGAGCUUGCUGACAGCAGACUGGACAACCCAUCAUUGGACACUAGCAAUUGAUGCAAGCUAGGUUCAUCUGUAUGCUUGUGAUAGUCGUAACUAAGAGCUCAAAACUCUGAAUUGAAGUGAUGAUAUAUGCUUAUCUCGUUUUAAGUUUCUAUCCAUAUGAGUCUUUGUAAAUCCAUACAGUUCUGGUUCUUCCAUUUCUUGUUCCAAACCAUUCUUUCAAUUCUUCUCCUUUUCUUCUA